CACAUCUGGAUGCUUUGUACAUUCAGAGCCCUCUGUUAGGCUCUUUGCUGCCCGUUAGCACCACGGCUCCAGGAUGCCCGUGCCUUGGUGGUUUUCCCUCACCUCUCUAAGCGGAGCAGCUGAUGUCCUCCCUUCUUCCCUCCCUUCCUUCCUUUCUUCCCUACCAUCGCUUAGCCAACAUCGUUGUCUAUCAUGAGCCACUUGCACCUUGCCGUGGAUGUAGGGCUCUGUGAAUUGCUAAAGGAAAGGGAGAUCUGGGGACAGAAAUGACAGCCCAUGUCGAGGGGAAUGGCCACCCACUCGCCAAAUAUAUGCAACACUAAGCCGCCAAUUAUGGGGACCAGGACGAAUUUUGGUCGCUAUAUUAAAAUCUGCGAGGGGUCCAUUACAUGCACUCACUCUAUCAGGCUGGUUUGUGGGAGGUGCUGUACAUUUUAUAUCUAUGAGCACAUUCAGUCGCUAGAAAAUUAAUUAUUCUGUUACAAGUGAGAAGGUAAUCGGAGCUAAGGGAAGUUUGCAAUCAGAAUUACUUUUCAGUGAGUCAGCGGGAGUCCGAUGGGGGUGAAAGAAACAACAGGUUGCAAUGUUCAGCUCUUCUACAAUCUGAGGAUGUGCUGCAGACAGUUAACGGUCACUAACCCUCAUUAUUCCAUUCGUUCAUUCAGGAAGUAUUCGCCGGGGUGUUUCUUUUGCGUCAGGGCAUAGUAUAUGCAUCACAGGUACCACGAUGCUUUUCCUAUCGUGAGGAGUUAAUGACAGGAACACUAAGUGUUUACAGAUGCUGAAAACUGAGGUCCCAACAUCAGAGAAAACAUAAGAAGCCACACAACAAGGGAAGAGCUGCCAGUGUGUGUGUUUGUGAGUCCCUGGAUUGUAGUCCAGGCUAUUAGACUUUUAACCCUGAACUUAGUAUACAUUUCAGUAAUUAAAGAGCAAGUCACGUC